rnacentral:lncRNA from 1 species
GAAACACAAGGAAAUCCUAAAGAAAUAUAAAAGAAUAUUAAAGAAAACUUAGUCAAACCUUAACAAAAUCUAAUAGAACCUUAAAUUCUAACCAAAUCCUAAUCCUAAUCUAACCUUAAUCAAAUCCUAGACAAAUCCUAAAUCCUAAACCAAAUCCUAAUCAAAACUUAAUCCCUAACCAAACUCUAAUCCAAAUCCUAAACCCUAAACCAAAUCCUAAACCCUAAACCAAAUCCUAAUCCAAAUCCUAAAUCUUAAACCAAAUCCUAUCCAAAUCCUAAAUCCUAAACCAAACCCUAAUCCAAAUCCUAAAUCCUAAAUAAAACCCUAAUCAAACCUUAAUCCCUAACCAAAUCCUAAUGCAAAUCCUAAAUCCUAAACCAAACCCUAAUCCAAACCCUAAACCCUAAACCAAAUCCUAUCCAAAUCCUAAACCAAAUC